CCUACGGGUGGCAGCAGGGGGGAAUAGUGCGCAAUGGGCGAAAGCCUGACGCAGCGACGCCGCGUGAGGGAUGAAGGUCUUCGGAUCGUACACCUCUGUCAGCAGGGAAGAACGGUCACUGUGCUAAUCAGCAGUGAAUUGACGGUACCUGCAAAGGAAGCACCGACUAACGCCGUGCCAGCAGCCGCGGUAAUACGGAGGGUGCGAGCGUUAAUCGGAAUUACUGGGCGUAAAGCGCUCGUAGGUGGUAUGUCAAGUCAAGGGUGAAUCCCCCGCGCUCAACGUGGGAACUGCCUUUGAAACUGGCAAACUGGAGUGUGUGAGAGGAUAGUGGAAUUCCAGGUGUAGGAGUGAAAUCCGUAGAUAUCUGGAGGAACAUCAGUGGCGAAGGCGACUAUCUGGCACAUAACUGACGCUGAGGAGCGAAAGCGUGGGUAGCAAACAGGAUUAGAUACCCUUGUAGUC
rnacentral:rRNA from 1 species